rnacentral:rRNA from 1 species
UAGGGAAUCUUCCGCAAUGGACGAAAGUCUGACGGAGCGACGCCGCGUGAGCGAAGAAGGUCUUCGGAUCGUAAAGCUCUGUUGUUAGGGAAGAAGAAGUACCGUUCGAAUAGGGCGGUACGGUGACGGUACCUAACGAGAAAGCCCCGGCUAACUACGUGCCAGCAGCCGCGGUAAUACGUAGGGGGCGAGCGUUGUCCGGAAUUAUUGGGCGUAAAGCGCGCGCAGGCGGUCCCUUAAGUCUGAUGUGAAAGCCCACGGCUCAACCGUGGAGGGCCAUUGGAAACUGGGGGACUUGAGUGCAGAAGAGGAGAGCGGAAUUCCACGUGUAGCGGUGAAAUGCGUAGAGAUGUGGAGGAACACCAGUGGCGAAGGCGGCUCUCUGGUCUGUAACUGACGCUGAGGCGCGAAAGCGUGGGGAGCAAACA